rnacentral:rRNA from 1 species
CCUACGGGUGGCAGCAGUGGGGAAUAUUGCACAAUGGGGGAAACCCUGAUGCAGCGACGCCGCGUGAGUGAAGAAGUAUUUCGGUAUGUAAAGCUCUAUCAGCAGGGAAGAAAAUGACGGUACCUGAUGAAGAAGCACCGGCUAACUACGUGCCAGCAGCCGCGGUAAUACGUAGGGGGCAAGCGUUAUCCGGAUUUACUGGGUGUAAAGGGAGCGUAGACGGCAGCACAAGUCUGGAGUGAAAUGCCGGAGCUUAACCCCGGAACUGCUUUGGAAACUGUGCAGCUAGAGUGCAGGAGAGGUAAGUGGAAUUCCUAGUGUAGCGGUGAAAUGCGUAGAUAUUAGGAGGAACACCAGUGGCGAAGGCGGCUUACUGGACUGUAACUGACGUUGAGGCUCGACAGCGUGGGGAGCAAACAGGAUUAGAUACCCGUGUAGUC